rnacentral:rRNA from 1 species
AACGAACGCUGGCGGCAUGCCUAACACAUGCAAGUCGAACGAGACCUUCGGGUCUAUUGGCGCACGUGUGCGUAACGCGUGGUAACCUGCCCUUAGGUUCGGAAUAACUCCCCGAAAGGUGUGCUAAUACCGGAUAAUGUCUUCGGACCAAAGAUUUCUCGCCUUUGGAUGGGCCCGCGUUGGAUUAGCUAGUUGGUAGGGUAAAAGCCUACCAAGGCGUCGAUCCAUAGCUGGUAUGAGAGGAGGAUCAUCCACACUGGGACUGAGACACGGCCCAGACUCCUACGGGAGGCAGCAGUGGGGAAUAUUGGACAAGGGGCGAAAGCCUGAUACAGCAAUGCCGCGUGAGUGAUGAAGGCCUUAGGGUUGUAAAGCUCUUUUACCCGGGAUGAGAAUGACGGUACCGGGAGAAUAAGCACCGGCUAACUCCGUG